rnacentral:rRNA from 1 species
ACUCCUACGGGGAGGCAGCAGUAGGGGAAUCUUCCACAAUGGACGAAAGUCUGAUGGAGCAACGCCGCGUGAGUGAAGAAGGGUUUCGGCUCGUAAAAACUCUGUUGUUAAAAGAAGAACAUAUCUGAGAGUAACUGUUCAGGUAUUGACGGUAUUUAACCAGAAAGCCACGGCUAACUACGUGCCAGCAGCCGCGGUAAUACGUAGGUGGCAAGCGUUGUCCGGAUUUAUUGGGGCGUAAAGCGAGCGCAGGCGGUUUUUAAGUCUGAUGUGAAAGCCUUCGGCUCAACCGAAGAAGUGCAUCGGAAACUGGGAAACUUGAGUGCAGAAGAGGACAGUGGAACUCCAUGUGUAGCGGUGAAAUGCGUAGAUAUAUGGAAGAACACCAGUGGCGAAGGCGGCUGUCUGGUCUGUAACUGACGCUGAGGCUCGAAAGUAUGGGUAGCAAACAGGAUUAGAUACCCUGGUAGGAUAGCG